rnacentral:rRNA from 1 species
AUUAGACGAAUCAUCUGGAAAGAUGAAUCAAAGAAGGUAAUAAUCCUGUAGUCGAAAAUGUUGUCUCUCUUGAGUGGAUCCUGAGUACGACGGAGCACGUGAAAUUCCGUCGGAAUCUGGGAGGACCAUCUCCUAAGGCUAAAUACUCUCUAGUGACCGAUAGUGAACCAGUACCGUGAGGGAAAGGUGAAAAGCACCCCGGAAGGGGAGUGAAAUAGAACCUGAAACCGUGUGCUUACAAGUAGUCAGAGCCCGUUAAUGGGUGAUGGCGUGCCUUUUGUAGAAUGAACCGGCGAGUUACGAUUUGAUGCAAGGUUAAGCAGUAAAUGUGGAGCCGUAGCGAAAGCGAGUCUGAAUAGGGCGUUUAGUAUUUGGUCGUAGACCCGAAACCAGGUGAUCUACCCUUGGUCAGGUUGAAGUUCAGGUAACACUGAAUGGAGGACCGAACCGACUUACGUUGAAAAGUGAGCGGAUGAACUGAGGGUAGCGGAGAAAUUCCAAUCGAACCUGGAGAUAGCUGGUUCUCUCCGAAAUAGCUUUAGGGCUAGCCUCAAGUGAUGAUUAUUGGAGGUAGAGCACUGUUUGGACGAGGGGCCCCUCUCGGGUUACCGAAUUCAGACAAACUCCGAAUGCCAAUUAAUUUAACUUGGGAGUCAGAACAUGGGUGAUAAGGUCCGUGUUCGAAAGGGAAACAGCCCAGACCACCAGCUAAGGUCCCAAAAUAUAUGUUAAGUGGAAAAGGAUGUGGCGUUGCCCAGACAACUAGGAUGUUGGCUUAGAAGCAGCCAUCAUUUAAAGAGUGCGUAAUAGCUCACUAGUCGAGUGACACUGCGCCGAAAAUGUACCGGGGCUAAACAUAUUACCGAAGCUGUGGAUUGUCCUUUGGACAAUGGUAGGAGAGCGUUCUAAGGGCGUUGAAGCAUGAUCGUAAGGACAUGUGGAGCGCUUAGAAGUGAGAAUGCCGGUGUGAGUAGCGAAAGACGGGUGAGAAUCCCGUCCACCGAUUGACUAAGGUUUCCAGAGGAAGGCUCGUCCGCUCUGGGUUAGUCGGGUCCUAAGCUGAGGCCGACAGGCGUAGGCGAUGGAUAACAGGUUGAUAUUCCUGUACCACCUAUAAUCGUUUUAAUCGAUGGGGGGACGCAGUAGGAUAGGCGAAGCGUGCGAUUGGAUUGCACGUCUAA